rnacentral:rRNA from 1 species
UGGGGAAUAUUGCGCAAUGGGCGGAAGCCUGACGCAGCGACGCCGCGUGGGGGAUGACGGCCUUCGGGUUGUAAACCUCUUUCGACCUUGACGAAGCUUUCGGGUGACGGUAGGGGUAGAAGAAGCACCGGCCAACUACGUG